rfam:Oryctolagus cuniculus chromosome 3, whole genome shotgun sequence.
AUCUAGCGCUGACGUUCUGGGUACCCCUGUUCCGAUGUGGGCUGCCUCUUCCCUCCCCUCCUGCAGGUCCUCUCCUGUUCACCUGUCUUGUCCCCUGCUGACGGAUCCUGG